GUCUGCAUGGAGCCGACCUUGAAAUACCACCCUUUAAUGUUUGAUGUUCUAACGUGGACCCGUAAUCCGGGUUGCGGACAGUGUCUGGUGGGUAGUUUGACUGGGGCGGUCUCCUCCUAAAGAGUAACGGAGGAGCACGAAGGUUGGCUAAUCCUGGUCGGACAUCAGGAGGUUAGUGCAAUGGCAUAAGCCAGCUUGACUGCGAGCGUGACGGCGCGAGCAGGUGCGAAAGCAGGUCAUAGUGAUCCGGUGGUUCUGAAUGGAAGGGCCAUCGCUCAACGGAUAAAAGGUACUCCGGGGAUAACAGGCUGAUACCGCCCAAGAGUUCAUAUCGACGGCGGUGUUUGGCACCUCGAUGUCGGCUCAUCACAUCCUGGGGCUGAAGUAGGUCCCAAGGGUAUGGCUGUUCGCCAUUUAAAGUGGUACGCGAGCUGGGUUUAGAACGUCGUGAGACAGUUCGGUCCCUAUCUGCCGUGGGCGCUGGAGAACUGAGGGGGGCUGCUCCUAGUACGAGAGGACCGGAGUGGACGCAUCACUGGUGUUCGGGUUGUCAUGCCAAUGGCACUGCCCGGUAGCUAAAUGCGGAAGAGAUAAGUGCUGAAAGCAUCUAAGCACGAAACUUGCCCCGAGAUGAGUUCUCCCUGAGACUUUAGGUCUCCUGAAGGAACGUUGAAGACGACGACGUUGAUAGGCCGGGUGUGUAAGCGCAGCGAUGCGUUGAGCUAACCGGUACUAAUGAACCGUGAGGCUUAACCUUACAACGCCGAAG
rnacentral:rRNA from 2 species